AAAGAGGAGGGACAAAGGGUCAAUACAGUAUGUCCUGAUAAUGUGCUUCUCAAACUUAUCAAGUAUUUUCAAAUAUUUUUGACCCAAGAUUGGUUGAAUCCUUGGAUGCAGAACCCACAGCUUGGAAUGUGGCUGUGAUGGCUGGAACUCCAGAACCAUUGUGGAACAUGAGGACAACUCUGAGUAGAAGAUAGAUGCUAAGGACAAUGGAGCAGAAAGAAGAGGCACUCAUCCACUGAUCCAGGAAUGGCCAAAUCUAUCCUAAACUGUCAAGAUAUUUAUUAUUAGAUAAAUCUUUAUUAUUAAAUGAAUGAAUACCAUAAAAUUUCA